rnacentral:miRNA from 1 species
CAUGUCUGCUAUGGCCCAUC